rnacentral:rRNA from 1 species
UACCUGCAGCUCUAGUGGUGGCCGCUAUUAUUGGGCCUAAAACGUCCGUAGCCGGUUUAAUAAAUGCCUGGGUAAAUCGUGUAGCUUAACUAUACGAAUUCCGGGUAGACUGUUAAGCUUGAGAUCGGGAGAAGUUAGAGGUACUCCUGGGGUAGAGGUGAAAUUCUGUAAUCCUAGGGGGACCACCAGUGGCGAAGGCGUCUGACUAGAACGGGUCUGACGGUGAGGGACGAAGCCCUGGGGCGCAAACCGGAUUAGAUACCCCGGGUAGUCCAGGGUGUAAACGCUGCUUGCUUGAUGUUAGUCGGGCUCCGAGCCCGAUUAGUGUCGGAGAGAAGUUGUUAAGCAAGCUGCCUGGGAAGUACGGUCGCAAGACUGAAACUUAAGGAAUUGGCGGGGAGCACAGCAACGGGUGGAGCGUGCGGUUU